rnacentral:lncRNA from 1 species
AGAAGGGGGGGUUGGGCACAGCGAUUGGUGGGCGGGGGGCCGGGCCUGGGCCGGCGGGGAGCGGAUUGGUCGGAAAGUAGGUUAGUGGUGCGACAUUUAGGGAAGGCAGAAAGUAGGUCAGGGACGGAGGUGCCUAUUUACCCGCGCCGGACUUACUGCCGCCGCCGCCGCGGGAUCCGACUGGGGGCUCGGGUGCGGGCGUUCCCCGCCAGCCACGGUGGUGUUGACUGGAGUGCAUGCUUUUGGACCCAAGUUUCACUUUUCAAAUGUGGAAUCCUGGGCCUUUGUUGACCCCACUGUAGGUUUCUGGAAGAAGUUGACUGUCGACAAGGAAACUACAAAACAUGACAAUCGCUUUGAGGUGACCAACAAGUCCAGCAGCCCCUUGCUCCUCCCACGCUGGAUCUGAAGCUUAGGGACACUAACUUCAGAUGAGGAAACUUGGGCCCAGAGAGCGGGAGUGACAGCUCCAGUCAUAUCCUGUGGUGCUCCAUCUCCUGACUGCCGGCAGGGCACAGACCUUUUCAACUUGAUUUGGAGUUGGAGUCCCCUGCAAGGUACUUGUCAAACUCUUUUUUGAGCCCUCAGGUUUCUUCAUGGUUUUAAAAUAUAA